rnacentral:rRNA from 1 species
UACAGAGGGGGCAAGCGUUGUUCGGAAUUACUGGGCGUAAAGGGCGCGUAGGCGGCCUUCUAAGUCGAACGUGAAAUCCCCCGGGCUCAACCCGGGAACUGCGUCCGAUACUGGAAGGCUUGAGUCCGGGAGAGGGAUGCGGAAUUCCAGGUGUAGCGGUGAAAUGCGUAGAUAUCUGGAGGAACACCAAUUGCGAAGGCAGCUCGCUGGGACGUUACUGACGCUGAGACGCGAAAGCGUGGGGAGCAAAACAGG